UAUGUUUUAGUAUAUAUGUAUAAAAAUUUUUGAUAUUUUUGGAAAUAGAUAAGUUCUAUUAAACAUAG
rnacentral:tRNA from 1 species